rnacentral:rRNA from 1 species
UCCUGACUGACCGAUAGUGAACCAGUACCGUGAGGGAAAGGCGAAAAGAACCCCGGCGAGGGGAGUGAAAAAGAACCUGAAACCGUGUACGUACAAGCAGUGGGAGCACGCUUAGGCGUGUGACUGCGUACCUUUUGUAUAAUGGGUCAGCGACUUAUAUUCUGUAGCAAGGUUAACCGAAUAGGGGAGCCGAAGGGAAACCGAGUCUUAACUGGGCGUUAAGUUGCAGGGUAUAGACCCGAAACCCGGUGAUCUAGCCAUGGGCAGGUUGAAGGUUGGGUAACACUAACUGGAGGACCGAACCGACUAAUGUUGAAAAAUUAGCGGAUGACUUGUGGCUGGGGGUGAAAGGCCAAUCAAACCGGGAGAUAGCUGGUUCUCCCCGAAAGCUAUUUAGGUAGCGCCUCGUGAAUUCAUCUCCGGGGGUAGAGCACUGUUUCGGCAAGGGGGUCAUCCCGACUUACCAACCCGAUGCAAACUGCGAAUACCGGAGAAUGUUAUCACGGGAGACACACGGCGGGUGCUAACGUCCGUCGUGAAGAGGGAAACAACCCAGACCGCCAGCUAAGGUCCCAAAGUCAUGGUUAAGUGGGAAACGAUGUGGGAAGGCCCAGACAGCCAGGAUGUUGGCUUAGAAGCAGCCAUCAUUUAAAGAAAGCGUAAUAGCUCACUGGUCGAGUCGGCCUGCGCGGAAGAUGUAACGGGGCUAAACCAUGCACCGAAGCUGCGGCAGCGACGCUUAUGCGUUGUUGGGUAGGGGAGCGUUCUGUAAGCCUGCGAAGGUGUGCUGUGAGGCAUGCUGGAG